UACUAGAGUAGCACUCGCAUAUCAAUAAGCGGAGGAAAAGAAACUAACAAGGAUUCCCCUAGUAACGGCGAGUGAAGCGGGAAGAGCUCAAAUUUGAAAUCUUAAAGGGUUUCCCUUUACGAAUUGUAGUUUAAAGAAGUGUUUUCUGUUGAGGUUUUGGUAAAAGUUCUUUGGAAUAGGACAUCAUAGAGGGUGAGAAUCCCGUAUUUGACCUUUACUUUCAACUUUGUGAUACACUUUCAAAGAGUCGGAUUGUUUGGGAAUGCAGUCCAAAAUGGGUGGUAAAUUUCAUCUAAAGCUAAAUAUUGGCGAGAGACCGAUAGCGAACAAGUACCGUGAGGGAAAGAUGAAAAGAACUUUGAAAAGAGAGUUAAACAGUACGUGAAAUUGUCAAAAGGGAAGCGUUUGACACCAGUGUUGUUUUUCUGAAAAUCAAUUAAAGAACUGUUUAUGCUAAGUUGUUUAGACUUUAUCAGCUAAUCUGUUUAGUUUUGAGCUUUUCUUUAAUGCACUUUUCAGUUAACAAGUCAACAUCAAUUUCUUUUGCUGUAAAAAAGCUUGAGGAAGGUGGCUUGAGAUUCGUCUUAAGUGUUUAUAGCCUCUUGCCUAUGCAGUCGGAGAGAUUGAGGUCUGCAGCGUAGAUCCUUCGGGGCUAAAUGCAUUUGUGCUAAGUUAUAGCAUUUUAUAGACAACUUGUUGACUAUGAUUUGUCUUGUAGCUUACUCGCUUAUGUUAUUUUACCUACGCUUAGGAUGUUGAACUACUGAGACAUAGA
rnacentral:rRNA from 1 species